rnacentral:rRNA from 1 species
AGGCAUUGCGGAGCCAUCGCUCCGUCUAAGCUGGAUAUGAAAUUGGAGUACCGUAAUGGUGAGAAUUUUUCAAAACGGUGAUGGGGUAACAAUGCUGAUUCCAGGAGCCCGUGAAAAGGGUGAUACGGUCCGUACCGAGAACUGACACAGGUGCCCCUCGCUGAGAAGGCGAAGGCGUGUCGGGAGUAAAUGUGUUAAGGGAACUCGGCAAAUUAGCCCUGCAACUUUGGGAUAAGGGGUGCCUGCCCAGCGAUUGGGCAGGUCGCAGUGACAAGAUCGCUCCGACUGUCUAAUAACAACAUAGCAGACUGCAACUCCGAAAGGACUCGUAUAGUCUGUGAUUCCUGCCCAGUGCGAGUAUCUGAACACCGGGUUCAACCGGACGAAGGACACGUAAACGGCGGGGGUAACGAUGACCCUCUUAAGGUAGCGUAGUACCUUGUCGCUUAAUUGGCGACUUGCAUGAAUGGAAUAACGAGAGCGAUACUGUCCCUAACACAUACCCGUUGAACCUUUUGUACUAGUGCAGAGACUAGUGACUCCUUAUGGGAAGUGAAGACCCCGUGGAGCUUUACUGCAGCCUGUCGUUGGGUUACGGUAUUACCUGCGCAGGGUAGAUGGGAGACGUCGAUCCAACCCUUGUGGGGGUUGGUUAGUCAACGAUGAGACACCAUCCUGGUUUUAUUGUAAUUCUAACUGAUUUAUCAGGACAUCGAUAGGUAGGCAGUUUGGGUGGGGCGCCACACCCUCGAAAAAAUAUCAAGGGUGCCCUAAGGUCAACUCAAGCGGGUCAGAAACCCGCUGAAGAGUGUCAAGAGCAAAAGUUGGCCUGACGCGAUUUCGCAUAGCAAGAAAUCGCGAGAGGAAACUCGGGUCUAACGAACCAAUACGCCCUGUUGAUGAGGGCUAUUGACUACAGAAAAGCUACCCCGGGGAUAACAGAGUCGUCGCCGGCAAGAGCACAUAUCGACCCGGCGGCUUGCUACCUCGAUGUCGGUUCUUUCCAUCCUGGCUGUGCAGCAGCAGCCAAGGGUGAGGUUGUUCGCCUAUUAAAGGGGAUCGUGAGCUGGGUUUAGACCGUCGUGAGACAGGUCGGUUACUAUCUAUAAGGAGUGUUGGAAGUCUGAAGGCAAGAAUGAAAUAGUACGAGAGGAACUUUCAUUCGGCGCCACUGGUCUACCGGUUGUCUGACAAGGCACCGCCGGGCAGCUACGCGCCAAGAGAUAAAAGCCGAAAGCAUCUAAGCUUGAAACUCAGCCUGAACAAGAGACUUCAUUAAAGACACGGGUAAGAGACCCGGUUGAUAGGUUCGGGAUGUACGCACGGAGGCAACGACGUGUUCAGUCCGCGAAUACUAAUUGUCUUAAC